UACGGGGGGGGGCAAGCGUUGUUCGGAAUUACUGGGCGUAAAGGGCUCGUAGGUGGCCAACUAAGUCAGACGUGAAAUCCCUCGGCUUAACCGGGGGACUGCGUCUGAUACUGGAUGGCUAGAGUUUGGGAGAGGGAUGCGGAAUUCCAGGUGUAGCGGUGAAAUGCGUAGAUAUCUGGAGGAACACCGGUGGCGAAGGCGGCAUCCUGGACCAACACUGACGCUGAGGAGCGAAAGCCAGGGGAGCAAACGGG
rnacentral:rRNA from 1 species